UUGUACAGCAGUGAAGGCCCAUGCUCAACCCCACUUGAUUUCUGGUUGCUGGCUGCAGGGUUCUGUAAGGCUGAAGGCUGCUGUUAUCAUCACAAAAGGAUCAGGAGCUCCAAGGGCACUGCUUAAACCACCAGCUACAGACAGAGCUAAUUACAGCUGUUGUGCUCUGUCGUGGUUUAACCCCAACCAGCAGCCAAGCCCCACACAACUGCUUGCUCACUCCCACACCAGCAGGAUCAGGGAAAGAAUCAGAAAGGAUUUUCUUAUGCUGCUUUGGUUUCAUCUGAGUGGAUCUUUAAAUUCCAAGCCAGUCCCAUCUCAUUAACAUGUGUGAAGUCAUAACUUCAACUUUCAACUUCAGAGGUGCAGAAACAGAAAAUCUUUCUGCAUGAAAGAUUUGAUAUCUGAUAUCUCUCUUCUUCCUAUCCAUGGAGGAGUUUUUCACAAGUUGUGGUGAUAACAUCUCUCAGUUAAGAUAUCCAACCUGGAGCAGGAAUGGAAUUAAUAUUAAAUACUCAUUGCAGAAAUAACAUCUCCAUAUCUCCUUCAGAAAAAGAAAGAUAAAGAUAGAUACAAGAUACAAGAUACAAGAUACAAGAUACAAG